rnacentral:tRNA from 1 species
GGAGAGAUGGGUGAGUGGCUGAAACCAGCUCCCUGCUAAGGAGCCAUACGUGUUAAGCGUAUCGAGGGUUCGAAUCCCUCUCUCUCCGCCA